ACCCUUGUCCCAAAUCCUGUUGCCACAGAAAGCCAAAGCUAUAUAAACCUGUGGUUGGCACAGGUUAAUUGGAUAUUUCUUUCUUGGACCAGUGAGUCAACUUUGAACCCCUCACACCAGGUGACAUUUCUGCCUCUGAACCCAUAAAAUUAUCUCUGUUAGGCACACACAGGACUAUAUGAGUUCUUAUCCCAUUGGUUGCUCAUUUUUCUACCCACCCAGUCCCCCUCCUACCUGAGCAUUCUGGGUGACUCAAAAGAAGUGAAAAGGACAGGUCUCAUCAUUAGAGACUUUUCUGUGCUAUUCAGACAUUUAGCUUUGGGGAGCAUUUGUUUCACGGAGAGCUUGGAGCUCCUUUGGCAGAGCAUGUGAGAUAUUGUCUCUGUACGUAUGUAUGUGGAUGCCCUUGUUUUUCCAGGGAAAAGAUAUGUGCCAAGCUUUCAUUUUCCAAAAUGGCAAGAACUACUUGUAAUAAAAAAGCCUUUUCAAAAACAUGUAUUUAGCAAAGAAUAUACACACUGUGUUGCAUCAUCUCCUUUUAAUUCUCAAAACAACUCUGUGAGUUAGUAUAUUACCAUGGCAAUUUCACAGUUGAAAAGCCGAGGUCAGCAUCAUUUAAUUACUUCCCAGCAUCACACAUAGAUUUUAACCAUGAGAAUAAUAUUUCGAGUGCAACUCUAUUAUACCCCCAAGAAUCGGAAUGCUUUCAAUAUUAACUUAUUUUUAUCAAAACACAUAUAGACAUGAUUUUAAAAAAUGGUGCUUUUUUAAGAAAGUGUUUUUUUUUUAAAUAUUCUGCACUGUCACUUUCAUUUUUUUGCCCCUUUGUCUAUUUUUGUUUUACUCUUGUGCUGUUUUGAAAACUUCAUGCAACUUGAAGAGACUUUAGAUUCCUAGGAAUGCCUCAGCAUGAGGUGUUCGUCAUAAGCAUGCAUGCCUCAAAGAUGUUGCAUGCAAGUGGCAGUUUUUGUUUUUUUUUUUUUUUCCAUCAGUGGCUUGGUAGACAGAAUUUUCUUUUAUCUGGUGACCUACAGGACAGUUUUUAGAGCCUUUGUAUCCCGUACACAUUGGAAUUAUCUUAACAAGAGCUUUCCAACAUUAUGUUUAGUGUGCAUUAGGUUUCCAAUGGUCAGGGGGCAGCUGGGGUUGUAGGGAAGAAGGAGGAAGUAGGCCGGAGACCCAGGAUGGAGACACUCAGUCGUAUAGAGCACCUUCUCCAACUUCAUGCCUUAUCCACCUUCAUUGGCCACCUCCUCAAGUUCUGAGCUUUUCUUGGUUCCUGUAGGGAAUUGGCUUGUUUGUUGCUUCCCUUGCCCUUUAGGUGAAGAGUUCUUGACCUCUCUUCCAGUUAGGAACAAUGUCUCUACUGGGUUUUUAUCUUCCAAAACUUCAGUUCAGGUCAUUCAUAUCAUCACUUCUACUCUUUUCCAUCCUCUAAACGGCACCUUCUCUGUGACCUCUCUGUCCUUCCUCACUUACACUUAAUUGGCUGUGCAAUACCACAAGACACCAGCUAGAUAGGGGCCUUGAAUAGAGGUUUGGAUAUUAUAUUGUCUUAAGAUGAUGCACGUCAUACUCACAGAAGAUGUAAACUAUGGAAGCAUUGGCAAUGGAGGCACAGAACUGUAAUCCCCCCACUCAGGAGGCAGAGUCAGGUCGAUCUCUGUGAGUUCAAGCCUGUUCUAUAGAGUGAGCUCCAGGACAUCAAGGCAUACACAGUAAAACCCUGCCUCAAAAACAAAACAAAACUAACUAACAAAAAAUCAAAACAAAAUAAAAACAGACAAAGAAAAAAUGGGAGUAUUGAAGUGGAACUCUGGAAAGAGAAGAUUGGAGACAAGGAACCGAGGCAAGCAUCCAGGAGAAAGGGAGGAAAUGAAAGUUUGGGAUGGGAAGGAAGUAAAAUUGCUUAGUGAAGUAGCUGGUCCAGCAAGAGAAAUAUCCAGGAAGAGGCAGGAAACACAAAAAUGUCAACAACUCAAGAGGGGAGAACAGCUGUGCCUAUCCCUGGAUGGCAGGAGUUGGUGCCGAUCAAGAGAUUGCGGCUUGGAAAAUCACAAAAGGGUCUCCAGAUCUGGCCCAGAUGGGACAUGUCAUUUGGCCAGGGACCCAAAUGCUGACAACUUUGGGACUUUUCCAUGAAUGUGCUCCUCUGAAGCCCCCCCCCCCCCUUUCCAUCACCUAUUGUCAAAGCCCAGAUAUAUUUACCAAACUUUG
rnacentral:lncRNA from 1 species